GACGAACGCUGGCGGCGUGCCUAAUACAUGCAAGUCGAGCGGACCAAAGGGAGCUUGCUCCUGGAGGUCAGCGGCGAACGGGUGAGUAACACGUGGGCAACCUGCCUGUAAGACUGGGAUAACAUCGAGAAAUCGGUGCUAAUACCGGAUAAUAAAAAGAACUGCAUGGUUCUUUUUUGAAAGAUGGUUUCGGCUAUCACUUACAGAUGGGCCCGCGGCGCAUUAGCUAGUUGGUGAGGUAACGGCUCACCAAGGCAACGAUGCGUAGCCGACCUGAGAGGGUGAUCGGCCACACUGGGACUGAGACACGGCCCAGACUCCUACGGGAGGCAGCAGUAGGGAAUCUUCCGCAAUGGACGAAAGUCUGACGGAGCAACGCCGCGUGAGUGAUGAAGGUUUUCGGAUCGUAAAACUCUAGUUGUUAGGGAAGAACAAGUGCCGUUCGAAAGGGCGGCACCUUGACGGUACCUAACGAGAAAGCCACGGCUAACUACGUGCCAGCAG
rnacentral:rRNA from 1 species